GAUGAACGCUGGCGGCGUGCCUAAUACAUGCAAGUCGAGCGAACAGACGAGGAGCUUGCUCCUCUGACGUUAGCGGCGGACGGGUGAGUAACACGUGGAUAACCUACCUAUAAGACUGGGAUAACUUCGGGAAACCGGAGCUAAUACCGGAUAAUAUAUUGAACCGCAUGGUUCAAUAGUGAAAGACGGUGUUGCUGUCACUUAUAGAUGGAUCCGCGCUGCAUUAGCUAGUUGGUAAGGUAACGGCUUACCAAGGCAACGAUGCGUAGCCGACCUGAGAGGGUGAUCGGCCACACUGGAACUGAGACCCGGUCCAGACUCCUACGGGAGGCAGCAGUAGGGAAUCUUCCGCAAUGGGCGAAAGCCUGACGGAGCAACGCCGCGUGAGUGAUGAAGGUCUUCGGAUCGUAAAACUCUGUUAUUAGGGAAGAACAUAUGUGUAAGUAACUGUGCACAUCUUGACGGUACCUAAUCAGAAAGCCACGGCUAACUACGUG
rnacentral:rRNA from 1 species